rnacentral:rRNA from 1 species
GGCCUUGAGCCGUGGCUUUCGGAGCUAACGCGUUAAGUAGACCGCCUGGGGAGUACGGUCGCAAGAUUAAAACUCAAAUGAAUUGACGGGGGCCCGCACAAGCGGUGGAGCAUGUGGUUUAAUUCGAUGCAACGCGAAGAACCUUACCUACUCUUGACAUCCAGAGAACUUUCCAGAGAUGGAUUGGUGCCUUCGGGAACUCUGAGACAGGUGCUGCAUGGCUGUCGUCAGCUCGUGUCGUGAGA